UACGUAGGUGGCAAGCGUUGUCCGGAUUUAUUGGGUUUAAAGGGUGCGUAGGCGGUCUUCUAAGUCAGUCGUGAAAUACUUCAGCUUAACUGGAGAGGUGCAAUUGAUACUGGAAGACUUGAGUACUGAUGAGGUAGGCGGAAUGGACGGUGUAGCGGUGAAAUGCUUAGAUAUCGUCCAGAACACCGAUAGCGAAGGCAGCUUACUAAGGAGUAACUGACGCUGAGGCACGAAAGUGUGGGGAUCAAACAGG
rnacentral:rRNA from 1 species